GAGCUCAACAGCAGCUGCAGGAGCGGGAGCUACUGCUGGCCAGCAGCGCAUGGUCAUGCCCCUCCGCCUCUACUUUGUCUGGCAGGCAGGAGGCACCAGAAAGUUUAAGCAAAAAAAAAGUGCCCGUGACUUAUCAAUGUCUUGGCCGACGAGGGCGCCGAGAAUAUGUUUUUGGUCUGCUAGAGAAUUUGCCUCUUCAAAUGUUGUGUAAACCUUUUUGGAUGAGGGAAUAUUUUUUUAGAAUGUGCACAUAAGGUACUUCUCAGAGAACAUUUAAGGAUGGAGAUUUAUGCCCAUUUUGAUGGGAAAGGUGCUUCCAUGGACUUCUUAGGAAGACGGGGAUUGUGAGGAGAGACCGAGACAGAUGAGAGCUGGGUAGAGAAAUGGCGAGGGACGAAAUGCCACGAUCUGCAACCUGCUAACCAUUGUGGCUAAGGACGAAGGGGAAUCAUGUUAUGUCUAUCUUAAAAUAAGUUCGAGGAAUAAACCUUAUAAUGGGCCAUGGAAAGAUUCAUCAAGAAAUGAGAGAAGUGACUGAGACGAGAAAAGAUGACAUCGAAUUACACGCACCGAACGUCCGGACCAUGUGUCCGAUGGCUUGAUUAUGAUGUCUUCAUUGUAGGGAUUUCCUAUUCAUGUAUUAUUCAAAGUCAAGCUUAGUGAAUUGCACUAGUGCACAUGUGUUUCUGAAGCAGGGUUAUACCUAGAAUUAAAGACUAAGGAAGCUUGUCUUAAUUGGUGUCAUGGAGAUGUCAUGGAGAGAAUGGGUAUGUUCAGAACUUACAGUAGUGAUGACCUUUGUUGGUGGCUUCAGAUCUGUGGUAUCAUAUUUAUUGUGAAUAUCAAUUUUGCACUGAUCAUGACCAAGUAGAACAGAGAUAAAUGUCUCAUAAAAACUUCACAUGAGAUAUUUAGGCUGGUGUCGGUUCAGCUAUGGCUUCAUGUGAUCAGUUGUGUUUACUUCAGAUUUGCAUCUUUAGACAGAGCCCUUUUCUGAAAUUAUGCUAUUCUGGAUUUCUAGCAGAAGAAAAACAAAUGGUGCUUGCCUUUUCCCAACAAAGGCCUCUUUCCAGAAUUUUCUCAUUCCUAUGGACCAUCGGUUCAUGGUUGUAGCUUAGUCACCUAGCAAAGUGCUAUCUAAUAGGCAGUUAUGAACUUAUUGCAUUUUGUACUUGUGAGAAUUAUAUUGUGAUUUCCGUCAUGCAAACCUUACUCGUGUAUGCAUUUGGUUCCACUAUACCGCCCAAUGCUUAGUCAGUGUUCAACUUCA